GGGCGGCCUGGUAACAGUGCAAAGGGUGAGUAAUCCAUCGGCACCGUGGCCAGAAGUGGGGGAUAACGUACCGGAGUUACGCGUAAUGCCGCAUACGUUCUACGGAAGAAAGUGGGGAUGCAAGGCCUCGAUGCUUUUGGAGGGGCCGGAUGUCUGAUUACCUAGUUGGUAGGUAAAGGCUCGCCAAGCGCGGAUCAGUACCUGGUCUGAGAGACAAACCAGCCACACUGGACUGAGACGCGGUCCAAACUCCUACGGGAGGCAGCAGUGGGGAAUUUUGGACAAUGGGCGCAAGCCUGAUCCAGCAAUGCCGCGUGAGUGAAGAAGGCCUUCGGGUUGUAAAGCUCUUUUUCAGGGAAGAAACGGCAGGGGCUAAUAUCCUUUGCUAAUGCG
rnacentral:rRNA from 1 species